AGUCAGGUUUCAGGAUUUAUAAGUAAACGCCUUCUGUGAUGUGACGAAAGUACCGGGUUAUUUACAUUUUAAUUAUCUCUGCCCCUGUUGUUGUUCCUACCAUUUCAGAUGCCUAGAAUGGCAGACGAUGAGUUAUGUGAGAGCUUGCUCAUAUGGGUUCAAACGUUCAAUCUAGACUCACCCCAUGAGACGAUACAAGAUUUGACAGAUGGAGUCGCAUUAGGGGAAAUCCUGUGCCAAAUUGGGUCAUCUUUCUUCACGCCAUCCUGGUUCGGUAGAUUGAAGAAAGAUGCCGGGGAGAGUUGGAGAAUACGAGUCAGUAAUCUUAAGAAGGUCCAAGAAGGAAUCCUGGACUUUUACAAUGAGGUAAGUUGCAUACUGUAGUUGCUGGAAAUGAG